UUUCCGGUUGAUCCUGCCGGAGGCCAUUGCUAUCGGGGUCCGAUUCAGCCAUGCUAGUCGCACGAGUUCAUACUCGUGGCAAAUAGCUCAGUAACACGUGGCCAAACUACCCUGUGGACCAGAAUAACCUCGGGAAACUGAGGCUAAUACUGGAUAGUGCCCACACCCUGGAACGGCGUGGGCUCGAAACGUUCCGGCGCCACAGGAUGUGGCUGCGGCCGAUUAGGUAGACGGUGGGGUAACGGCCCACCGUGCCCAUAAUCGGUACGGGUCAUGAGAGUGAGAGCCCGGAGACGGUAUCUGAGACAAGAUACCGGGCCCUACGGGGCGCAGCAGGCGCGAAACCUUUACACUGCACGCGAGUGCGAUAAGGGGACCCCGAGUGCGAGGGCAUACAGUCCUCGCUUUUCACCACCGUAAGGUGGUGGUGGAAUAAGUGCUGGGCAAGACCGGUGCCAGCCGCCGCGGUAAUACCGGCAGCGCGAGUGAUGGCCGAUCUUAUUGGGCCUAAAGCGUCCGUAGCCGGCCAGACAGGUCCGUCGGGAAAUCUGCACGCCUAACGUGCAGGCGUCCGGCGGAAACCAGCUGGCUUGGGGCCGGAAGAUCCAGGGGGUACGUCCAGGGUAGGAGUGAAAUCCCGUAAUCCUGGACGGACCGCCGGUGGCGAAAGCGCCCUGGAAGGACGGACCCGACGGUGAGGGACGAAAGCUGGGGUCACGAACCGGAUUAGAUACAA
rnacentral:rRNA from 1 species